AAGAACCUGAAACCCUGUGCUUACAAGCACUUAGAGCACGUCAAAGUGUGAUAAGGUACCUAUUGUAGAAUGGUCCGGCGAGUUAUUGUAUGCAGCGAGGUUAAGUAGUUCAGCUACGGAGCCGAAGUGAGAGCGAGUGUUAACAGCACGUUCAGUUGCAUGCAAUAGACCCGAAACCGGGUGACCUAUCCAUGUCCAGGAUGAAGUGAGGGUAAAACCUCAUGGAGGUCCGAACCCACUCCCGUUGAAAUGGUAGGGGAUGAGGUGUGGAUAGCGGAGAAAUUCCAAUCGAACCCGGAUAUAGCUGGUUCUCCCCGAAAUAGUUUUAGGACUAGCCUCGUGAUUAAGAUUAUCGGAGGUAAAGCACUGAAUGGCCUAGGGGUCGAGAGAUUACCGAAGCCUAUCAAACUCUGAAUGCCGAAUAAUCAUGCACGGGAGUCAGACUGUGUGAGAUAAGUUUCAUAGUCGAAAGGGAAACAGCCCAGACCUACAGCUAAGGUCCCAAAGUACGUUUAAGUGGAAAACGAUGUGAAAUUGCGUAGACAACCAGGAUGUUGGCUUAGAAGCAGCCAUACAUUAAAAGAGUGCGUAAUAGCUCACUGGUCGAGUGACUUUGCGCGGAAAAUUUAACGGGGCUAAAACGUACACCGAAGCUUAGGCUUGUCACAAUGUGACAGGGGUAGGGGAGCGUUGAAUGAGGGGUGAAGUCGUAGCGAAAGCGACGGUGGACUUCAUUCAAGUGAGAAUGCCGGAAUGAGUAGCGAGAAUUAUGUGAGAAUCAUAAUGGCCGAAAGCCUAAGGUUUUUGGAGGAAGGUUCGUCCGCUCCAAGUAAGUCGGAAGCUAAGGUGAGGCUGAAAAGCGUAGCCGAUGCACAAACGGUUGAAAUUCCGUUACCACAGAAAGAUUUAAACUAAGGGACACUUUUGAAGAGCUGAUGCCGGGUGUUGGUUACCCCGGUCGUAAGGGAACGAAAUUAAGUAGUGAAGUCAGCGUGGAUGAAGGCGAGAAAAGCUUAGUGUAUAUCUUAUGUGUCCGUACCGCAAACCGACACAGGUAGGUAGGAAGAGAAUUCUAAGGCCAACGGGAGAAGGGUAGUUAAGGAACUCGGCAAAAUGUCCCCGUAACUUCGGAAUAAGGGGAGGUUUCUACGGAAACCCGCAGAGAAUAGUCCCAGGCAACUGUUUAUCAAAAACACAGCUCUAUGCUAAAUCGAAAGAUGACGUAUAUGGGGUGACGCCUGCCCGGUGCCGGAAGGUUAAGAGGAGGAGUGAGAGCCCUGAAUCGAAGCCCCGGUAAACGGCGGCCGUAACUAUAACGGUCCUAAGGUAGCGAAAUUCCUUGUCAGGUAAGUUCUGACCCGCACGAAUGGCGUAAUGAUCUGGGAGCUGUCUCAACUGCCCGCCCGGCGAAAUUGUAGUACCGGUGAAGAUGCCGGUUACCCGCGACUAGACGGAAAGACCCCAUGGAGCUUUACUGUAGCUUAAUAUUGGAUUUCGGCAUUUCAUGUACAGGAUAGGUGGGAGACUAGGAAACAUAGGCGUCAGCUUAUGCGGAGUCGUCCUUGGGAUACCACUCUUGGAGUGCUGAAAUUCUAACCUGCAGCCCUGAAUCGGGUUGGGGGACAUUGUUAGGUGGGCAGUUUGACUGGGGCGGUCGCCU
rnacentral:rRNA from 1 species